rnacentral:lncRNA from 1 species
CAUUAUCUUGCACUUAUCCACAUUAAAUGUCAGUUGCCACAAUUCUGACCAUUUUUCUAGUUUACCUAAAUCAUUUGCCAUUUGGCUUAUCCCUCCUGGAACAUCAACCCUGUUACAUGUCUUAGUAUCAUCAGCAAAAAGACAUACCUUACCAUCAAGACCUUCUGCAAUAUCACUAAUAAAAAUAUUAAAGAGAAUGGGUCCAAAUACAGAUCCCUGAGGUACCCCACUGGUGACAAGUCCAAG